AGUGAACGCUGGCGGCAGGCCUAAUACAUGCAAGUCGAACGGCAGCACAGCAGAGCUUGCUCUGUGGGUGGCGAGUGGCGGACGGGUGAGGAAUACGUGGGAAUCUGCCCAGUCGUGGGGGAUAACGUAGGGAAACUUACGCUAAUACCGCAUGCGCCCUUCGGGGAAAGCCGGGGACCUUCGGCCUGGCGCGAUUGGAUGAGCCCACGUCGGAUUAGCUAGUUGGCGGGGUAAAGGCCCACCAAGGCGACGAUCCGUAGCUGGUCUGAGAGGAUGAUCAGCACACUGGAACUGAGACACGGUCCAGACUCCUACGGGAGGCAGCAGUAGGGAAGUAUUGGACAAAUGGGC
rnacentral:rRNA from 1 species